rnacentral:misc_RNA from 1 species
GAUGAAGAACGCAGCGAAAUGCGAUACUUGGUGUGAAUUGCAGAAUCCCGUGAACCAUCGAGUCUUUGAACGCAAGUUGCGCCCGAGGCCUCCUGGUCGAGGGCACGUCUGCCUAGGUGUCACGCAUCGUCGCCCCCUCUCCCCUCGGCUCGCGAGGGCGGGGGCGGAUACUGGUCUCCCGCGCGCUCCCGCUCGCGGUUGGCCCAAAAUCGAGUCCUCGGCGACGGUCGCCACGACGAGCGGUGGUUGAGAGACCCUCGGCCACGGUCGUGCGCGCGCCUGUCGCCCCCGGGAUCUCCUGGACCCUCGGGCAUCGAAAUUCUAGGAUGCUCUCGUUGCGACCCCAGGUCAGGCGGGACUACCCGCUGAGUUUAAGCAUAUCAAUAAGCGGAGGA